CUGGCUCAGAUUGAACGCUGGCGGCAGGCUUAACACAUGCAAGUCGAGCGGUAACAGGGGAAGCUUGCUUCCCGCUGACGAGCGGCGGACGGGUGAGUAAUGCUUAGGAAUCUGCCCAGUAGUGGGGGAUAGCCCGGGGAAACCCGGAUUAAUACCGCAUACGUCCUACGGGAGAAAGCAGGGGAUCUUCGGACCUUGCGCUAUUGGAUGAGCCUAAGUCGGAUUAGCUAGUUGGUGGGGUAAAGGCCUACCAAGGCGACGAUCCGUAGCUGGUCUGAGAGGAUGAUCAGCCACAUCGGGACUGAGACACGGCCCGAACUCCUACGGGAGGCAGCAGUGGGGAAUAUUGGACAAUGGGGGCAACCCUGAUCCAGCCAUGCCGCGUGUGUGAAGAAGGCUUUCGGGUUGUAAAGCACUUUCAGUAGGGAGGAAAACCUUAUGGCUAAUACCCAUGAGGCUUGACGUUACCUACAGAAGAAGCACCGGCUAACUCCGUGCCAGCAGCCGCGGUAAUACGGAG
rnacentral:rRNA from 2 species